CGCACUUGUGGUUCGUUUAGAUGGCCGCUGGAGGAGGGAGGGGUGGAAGCGGGGGGUGUGGCAGCUGUAGCGCCCCCUGCUGCCGCAGCUGAGGUACUGGCUCCAUCUUCAGGGUGCUGCUGAAUGGGCCGCGUCCAGGUGGUGCUGCGGUUGUUGUGGUUGACGUAGUAUGUUCGUCCCUUGGGGUCUCUGCGUUCCUCCCAGCCUGGCGGAAGGCCUGGUGUGGUCAAGGCGUAGGAGGCCGAUGGAGACUAAAUAGAGUUAAACGAAAAUUUUGAAUAUUCACAAAACAAAGAAGAGACUUGGUGAUAUUAAAAUCUGUAUCACUAGCCGCGUUUCCGAUGUCGGGCCAAAGCGG